GCCAUAUCACGUUGAAACAACGGUUCCCGUACGAUCACCGAUGUUAAGCAACAUUGAGCCUGGUCAGUACCUAGAUGGUCGAUCGCUUAGGAAUACCAGGUGUUGUAAG